rnacentral:sRNA from 1 species
AUAUAAUUAAAAUAUUAUACAUUUUAUAUAUUAGAAUAAAAAGUCGAAUAAUAAAUCGAAUAAAAAUUAUAAAAAAUGUAGAAGAAAUAUUAUUAUAUAGCCAAAGUCUUGGGGUUUUUAACAAUUUUUUAUCUUUUCUUUUACCGCCUAUAUUGGCCGGGUUAUUAACCGUUUUACCUAUUUUAUUCGUAUUUUUAGUUUUUGUAAUAUGGACAAAUAUAUAUACAGGAAGAAUUCUAAUUUAAAUAUAAAAAUAAUAUUUAUAUUUAUUUAUAUAUAUGAAAUUAUUUUAUUAUUAUCUUUAUCACAUUUAUUCAAAAUUUUAUAAUAAGAAGUAUAAAAUUUAUUAGAUUUAUUAACUUUAUUUUACUUUUAUAAAUAAUAGGUUUGGUAUUUAAAUUUUUAUAUAUAAUAUGAUGAGAUAUAUUUAACGUAUAGCAUAUAUUUUGGUUUGUGUUUGAAAAAAUUAUUUAUUUGAAUAAAUUUAAAAAUAAUAAUAAUUAAUGUAAAUAUUGGUAUUUUUGUUUAUAAAAUGGCCAAUUUGAAGUUUUUUGCAAAACGGAUUGAACGUGGGCGUUUAAUUUUAUAUUACGUCCAAUUGUCAAAAUCUUAAUUUUGGUAUCGUAGAAAUUAAUUAAAAUGCAAACCCGUUUCGAUUGCAAAUUUUACUAAGUUUUAAUUUAUUUUACCUAUUUGGUUUUUUAAUCCGUUAUAUUAUGUAACAUUAGUACCCAAGUUUGUAUAUAUGAGAUUUAUUCUAAUAUUACCCUUUACGUACAAAAACUUUAAAGUUUUAUCAGAAAAU